rnacentral:tRNA from 1 species
GCCGGAGUGGUGCAAUUGGCUAGACACGAGCGACUCAAAAUCGCUUGGGCGAAAGUCCAUGAGGGUUCGAAUCCCUCCUCCGGCA